rnacentral:rRNA from 1 species
AGAAUCAACGCUGGCGGCGUGCCUAACACAUGCAAGUCGAACGAGAAAGGGUAGCAAUACCUGAGUAAAGUGGCGCACGGGUGAGUAACACGUGACUAACCUACCCUGGAGUGGGGGAUAACUGAGGGAACCUUAGCUAAUACCGCAUAAUACCUACGGGUCAAAGGAGCAAUUCGCUUCAGGAGGGGUCGCGGCCGAUUAGUUAGUUGGCGGGGUAAUGGCCCACCAAGACGAUGAUCGGUA